UGCUUAUUUGGUAGAGCACUUGCUUUGAACGCAAAGGGUCCCAGGUUCAAUCCCUGAUAUAUCAA